rnacentral:tRNA from 1 species
GCCCCCGUAAUUCAAUGGAUAGAAUUGCGGACUUCUAAGCCGUCAAUGUUGGUUCGAUUCCAACCGGGGGCACAA